rnacentral:lncRNA from 1 species
CGCAAAAGAUCAAGUAGAAAUAGAAAGUGCUCGACUCAAAUAUGCGCGCGCUAUGUUCUCUCAAGUCUUCAUCGUCUCCGCCGAGCCAGCGUCGCCUCCGGCGGCUGCGGAGAACCCAAAAUCCAAAAUAUAUUAUAUCAUCUCAAACUCCUCUACAAGCUGAGCUCAAAAAUGGCAAUGGUUUAACACAACUCUUCCUUAAGCGCUUGGAUUGAAGCUCCUCAAUCAAGAACCCUAAGUCUUGGGAGUGAAUAAUUGAAGUUUGAGUGCAAAAUUCGUUCCAAAACUUAUGGGAAAUGAUUAGGCAAUGAUUAGGCUUCUAGAAGCUCACUUAAUUUGUAUUUUUCUUUGGACUUUGUAGAUAUACCGUAGACCAAAUUGCAACUUGUAUUUUUGCUGCGUAUUUGUACUUCAAAUGUACACUUGCUGUAACUUGCUAUGUUGUAUUGCACUUGAAUAAUGAAUGCUAUCCACUUGCUUUCAUUGCUUGCUUUUGUACUUGUAUUCAUGCUUGCAUUUGGUAGUUUAGGAUGAUACUUUGAUAGCUUGCCCGAGCUUGAUUUCUAUGCUAGCAAAUGAUGAACCUGCUGCUACAAUCUUGCUCAUGGUAAUUCACAACCUUUGCUUACAUUGGUGAUGUUGAUGGCCAUUGAACCCGAGUUGCAUCAUGAUCCAUCAUGCUUGGUUAACUCAACUUUGAAUAACAAGCAACAACCUUGAUUGUUAUGCUUGUUUGUGAAGCUUGGCACCAGGUUUUCUGACAUGUGGUUGCUUAGCAGGCUGUUGUAUUGCUGCAUUUUGUUUGCUAUGCCUCUAUUGUUGCUUGUGUUGUGAUGCCCUUAAAUUCUACUUGUGUAUUGUGUAUUGUGAAUUGUGAGCUGUUGAUUUGUGCAUUGCAGGUUUGCUUGCUGCAGAUUUGUUGUGCAUUAUUGCUGCAGGAUUGUUAAGCUUGGUUUGGAUUGUUGUUGUAGGUGAAUGCAAGGUCCAUGGAAAGAGCAAGAUUGGCAAGCGAGAUCAAGACUAGGGCAUAUGUAGUUUGUGUGUAUGGACUGAUUUUGCAGGGCUGACUUAUUGUUGCUUUCAUUGAUGGAAACUCCAAAGCAUGAGCAUUUAGGCAAAAUCCAUGGCCAUAUGCAAAAUAAACUUGCUUGAAAUGGAAGCCAUCUUGAAUGGAAUGUUACAUGAUGUAAUGAAGCAUGAAGAAUGAAAGUUAGGAUUUUUAGAAAAAGUGUGUUGACUUUGGUCAAAGUUGACCAAAAAGUUAAAUGUUGACCAAAGUCAACUUUGGACAAAGGUUGGAUUUUCUUGUAUUUUUCUUUGUAAAAGUGAGGUAAAUGUGACUUGAAUGAGUAUUUGUAUAAAAUGUCUUUUUAAUGUAAUGAAACAAAGCCUUAUUUUGCCUACAAAACUCAUGUUUGAAUGGCCUUGAAUGAAACAUGUACUCUGAACUUGAAUGAAUGAAUUUAAAGUACUAAAGUCAAGGGAUCAUGAAUGUGUAUGAAACCAUCAUGGAUUAGAAGUGCC